rnacentral:rRNA from 1 species
UUAACUGCCCGUACCGCAAACCGACACAGGUAGUUGAGGAGAGAAUCCUAAGGUGUGCGAGAGAACUCUCGUUAAGGAACUCGGCAAAAUGACCCCGUAACUUCGGGAGAAGGGGUGCUGACCGCAAGGUCAGCCGCAGUGAAUAGGCCCAAGCGACUGUUUAUCAAAAACACAGGUCUCUGCAAAAUCGAAAGAUGACGUAUAGGGGCUGACGCCUGCCCGGUGCUGGAAGGUUAAGAGGAGAGGUUAGCGCAAGCGAAGCUUUGAAUUGAAGCCCCAGUAAACGGCGGCCGUAACUAUAACGGUCCUAAGGUAGCGAAACUCCUUGUCGGGUAAGUUCCGACCCGCACGAAAGGCGUAACGAUUUGGGCACUGUCUCAACGAGAGACUCGGUGAAAUUAUAGUACCAGUGAAGAUGCUGGUUACCCGCGACAGGACGGAAAGACCCCAUGGAGCUUUACUGCAGUUUGAUAUUGCGUGUUUGUAUCACAUGUACAGGAUAGGUAGGAGCCGAAGAUACCGGGACGCCAGUCUCGGAGGAGGCAACGGUGGGAUACUACCCUUGUGAUAUGACCACUCUAACCCGCUGCUCUUAGCGAGCAGGGAGACAGUGUCAGACGGGCAGUUUGACUGGGGCGGUCGCCUCCAAAAAUGUAACGGAGGCGCCCAAAGGUUCCCUCAGAAUGGUUGGAAAUCAUUCGUAGAGUGUAAAGGCAGAAGGGAGCUUGACUGCGAGACCUACAAGUCGAGCAGGGACGAAAGUCGGGCUUAGUGAUCCGGUGGUUCCGCAUGGAAGGGCCAUCGCUCAACGGAUAAAAGCUACCCUGGGGAUAACAGGCUUAUCUCCCCCAAGAGUUCACAUCGACGGGGAGGUUUGGCACCUCGAUGUCGGCUCAUCGCAUCCUGGGGCUGUAGUCGGUCCCAAGGGUUGGGCUGUUCGCCCAUUAAAGCGGUACGCGAGCUGGGUUCAGAACGUCGUGAGACAGUUCGGUCCCUAUCCGUCGCGGGCGUUGGAAAUUUGAGAGGAGCUGUCCUUAGUACGAGAGGACCGGGAUGGACACACCGCUGGUGUACCAGUUGUUCUGCCAAGAGCAUCGCUGGGUAGCUAUGUGUGGACGGGAUAAACGCUGAAAGCAUCUAAGCGUGAAGCCCCCCUCAAGAUGAGAUUUCCCAUCACUUUAAGUGAGUAAGACCCCUGAGAGAUGAUCAGGUAGAUAGGUUGGGAGUGGAAGUACAGCGAUGUAUGGAGCGGACCAAUACUAAUCGGUCGAGGACUUAACU